CGGGGCGUAGCGCAGUUGGUAGCGCACCUGGUUUGGGACCAGGGGGUCGCAGGUUCGAAUCCUGUCGCCCCGA
rnacentral:tRNA from 6 species